UGUCAAAUGAUGAGUAUUAAACUGCAACAAUAUGAUGGAGUUACACUCCUUUGAUUCCUAAGUAUUUAAGUCUCUGAUGAUA
rfam:Dichanthelium oligosanthes cultivar Kellogg 1175 unplaced genomic scaffold Do_version_2_scaffold4705, whole genome shotgun sequence.